UACGUAGGGUGCGAGCGUUGUCCGGAAUUAUUGGGCGUAAAGAGCUCGUAGGCGGUGUGUCGCGUCGGUCGUGAAAACUUGGGGCUUAACCCUGAGCUUGCGGUCGAUACGGGCAUCACUGGAGUUCGGCAGGGGAGACUGGAAUUCCUGGUGUAGCGGUGAAAUGCGCAGAUAUCAGGAGGAACACCGGUGGCGAAGGCGGUUCUCUGGGCAUUCCCUGACGCUGAGGAGCGAAAGUGUGGGGAGCGAACAGG
rnacentral:rRNA from 1 species